UACGUAGGUGGCAAGCGUUGUCCGGAUUUAUUGGGCGUAAAGCGAGUGCAGGCGGUUCAAUAAGUCUGAUGUGAAAGCCUUCGGCUCAACCGGAGAAUUGCAUCAGAAACUGUUGAACUUGAGUGCAGAAGAGGAGAGUGGAACUCCAUGUGUAGCGGUGGAAUGCGUAGAUAUAUGGAAGAACACCAGUGGCGAAGGCGGCUCUCUGGUCUGCGAACA
rnacentral:rRNA from 1 species